UAUAAGUGUUUAUGGCACUGUUUAAAUCCAUAUCCAACCUUGUGUGCAAUGUCAGUCGGUUAUCUUUUCGUCAAGAAAAAAGGAUAGCGAGGCCAACAUCAACUUAUUCUAAUUGAACUUUGUCUGAAAACUAUUAUGAAUAACUAAUUCAAAUA
rnacentral:misc_RNA from 1 species